rnacentral:rRNA from 1 species
GAUGAACGCUGGCGGCGUGCCUAAUACAUGCAAGUCGAGCGAACAGACGAGGAGCUUGCUCCUUUGACGUUAGCGGCGGACGGGUGAGUAACACGUGGAUAACCUACCUAUAAGACUGGGAUAACUUCGGGAAACCGGAGCUAAUACCGGAUAACAUGUUGAACCGCAUGGUUCAACAGUGAAAGACGGUCUUGCUGUCACUUAUAGAUGGAUCCGCGCCGCAUUAGCUAGUUGGUAAGGUAACGGCUUACCAAGGCAACGAUGUGUAGCCGACCUGAGGGGGUGAUCGGCCACACUGGAACUGAGACACGGUCCAGACUCCUACGGGAGGCAGCAGUAGGGAAUCUUCCGCAAUGGGCGAAAGCCUGACGGAGCAACGCCGCGUGAGUGAAGAAGGUCUUCGGAUCGUAAAACUCUGUUAUUAGGGAAGAACAAAUGUGUAAGUAACUAUGCACGUCUUGACGGUACCUAAUCAGAAAGCCACGGCUAACUACGUG